AACGAACGCUGGCGGCAGGCUUAACACAUGCAAGUCGAACGCCCCGCAAGGGGAGUGGCAGACGGGUGAGUAACGCGUGGGAAUCUACCGUACCCUACGGAACAACGGUUGGAAACGACUGCUAAUACCGUAUACGCCCUACGGGGGAAAGAUUUAUCGGGGUAUGAUGAGCCCGCGUUGGAUUAGCUAGUUGGUGGGGUAAAGGCCUACCAAGGCGACGAUCCAUAGCUGGUCUGAGAGGAUGAUCAGCCACAUUGGGACUGAGACACGGCCCAAACUCCUACGGGAGGCAGCAGUGGGGAAUAUUGGACAAUGGGCGCAAGCCUGAUCCAGCCAUGCCGCGUGAGUGAUGAAGGUCUUAGGAUUGUAAAGCUCUUUCACCGAUGAAGAUAAUGACGGUAGUCGGAGAAGAAGCCCCGGCUAACUUCGUGCCAGCAGCCGCCGUAA
rnacentral:rRNA from 1 species